CCGGAGACCUCUCCCUGCCUGGUCAGCACAGAGAAAAAGGCCAAGUAAGAACAUAGUAAGGAAGUGACUUUUGCCAACUCAAAGAGAAAAGCUUUACCGGGACUCUAGUAUUGAUGGAGUACUGGUGGCUCCAAAUCAAGUCCUUGCUGUAAUACUAAGAGAGAGAGGAGGUAGAGGCAGAAUGGAGCCCCCUCCAGUCCUGAAGGAGCUCUGGGCUAGCACUGGAUUUGCAUAAGCCUCAGAUGUGAAAGCUGGAGAGGGCAGUUCACCCUGCAUCGUUCGCCAGCGUUGCCGCAGCUCCUAGAAGAGACCCUACCGCACGCUGGGCGCUAGAUGUCUUCCUGAAAUUAGAUUCAUAUACAAGGAAACACAGAGACUUAUAUAGCCACCAGAUGGAGAAAGGGAGAGAAAGAAUUUUUUUUCCCUUCAUCUUAAUCACAGAGUAAGGAUGAAGAUCCAUCCAUGUUUGCAACAGGUACCAUAUCUGAAAUUCUGAGGUUGAAUUUAUUCACAGCAAAUGAAAAUGGAUCAUCUCUCCACAUAAUGAUUUCCCAAAUGGUUUGCAUUGCAAAGAAAUUCCACAAAGAAGGAUUACAUGGCUUUGUAGAUAACACUACCGCAGAAUAGGAACAAAUUAUCUCAUAGAUUUAUGCAGAACUCCCACUGCUGGCCAUGACAAAGUCACAGAUUCUGCAUUUGCCUUCCAAAAAGCGUCCUCACCCCUAACCAAAGACUGUGAGUCCGCUCUGAUAGAAUGUGAUGGCUCUGGGUGAGGAAUGAAACCUCAAAUCAAGAAAUGCCAUUUAAGAUGAUUCUGUUCUCCCUCUGCCCGACAUAAACUCAGGUGAUACUUCAGGCUCUCUCUGGAGUUUUACGCUGACCUUGGAUCACCACACGCAAUUAGUGUGAUGAAGGAUAAUGAUAUUGGAGGAUCCGAUACCCUUCUCAGCGAAACCUGGCUCUCUUCUCUACAUGUUCAUUGCAAAAGGAGAGGCCUCUUGUUCAUGAGUAAAAGUGUGAAAGGAAACACUCACGGGCUUUAGAGCCAGACUGCCUGGGCUCAUCUGAGGCUUGACUUUGGGCAAGGACCUUCACCCUCUGUGCCUCAGUUUCCAGUCUAUAAAUGGGGCGAUAGGACAUCCUUCCUAUGUUCAUUGUUACAAAGACGAAAUGAGCUAACCUACCGAAGGGCUCAUUCAGGGCCUGGUACUAAGUGUUCAACAUAAACUAUUCUUACCAUUGUCAUUGUUGUUCCUGUCCUGACAGAAUUGUGUGUCCUUAGAUCUUUUAAGCUUUGAUCGCUUCGUUUCUGUAAUGGGAAAAGUACACCUCCUUUGAAACAAUUAUUUUGGACAAUAAGAUCUCACCGGCUGUAGAACAAAUAAUCAUGUGUGAACAAACAGCACCAUAACGCUUUUACUCAGCAUGCCACAAAUGGUUGGAGAGACUUGGAUACUCCCCGGGAAAGAGAGCAACCCCCAUGUAUACUCAUCCUGCCAUAGGAAGA